CCCUCCUCCACCUCGCCUCGUUUCCCCUUGAUCUGGAGCUCACCUGUGAGGAGCCGGUGUGCGCCGUCGUCAAAUCCCGUGGCCACCGUCGUUCCCCCGCCCCCUAGAGUUGCUCGGGAGCUCCGCCUCCGUCGUCUACGUCCUCUACGUGAACCAUCUCGACCUCAACUCCGCCGCACCGUCGGGGUCGAGUUCUUCUCCGCCUUCGGCCACUGCCGCAUCAUCGCCGGAUUCGUCGCCGUCAGCUCCUCUCCGACCACCCCUGCACCUCCCCGAGCUUGCCCCCGUCAUCACUGUGAGCACCACCAUGUUUUCCCCAUCCCCCUUCUACCGCAUGUGCCCCGUAGCGAACAACCACCGUAGCCAUGCUCCGACCUCCGCUCGGCUUCGCUGCCGCCGCCGUCACCGGCCGUAGGUUAUCGUGCUUCUUGCACCUUCAGACGCGGCGCGUCGCGGUCGUCAUGUAGGACCAAACCCCCGAGCCAAAUGGCCACCGGAUUGCCGACGCCGCGCUCGCUGUCACCGUGUCUGAAACUCUGCUCCUGUCGCCCUUGGCCACUCCGCCCGCGUCGUACCCUGCGUCCGGCCGAGCUACCGCGCGUGGUCGCUGCGCCCGUAACCGUGCUUCCCCGCGCCACUGCACGUCCCAGGCCGCGCCCUCGGCCGCUCGCGUCUAACCGGCCCGCGCCCCUGCUCCUUCUAGCUGCCGCUGCUACUGCGUGCUACCUUGUCGCGGCUGCUACACUCCUCUGCCUGCCGCUGCGCUCCUUCCCCUGCUACGCUGCGUCGCCUGCUGCUUGCCGAUGCUGCUGCUGCCUCCCUUUACCGCCGCGCUCGGCCGCGCCUCAGGCCACUCUCUGGCCGCGGCGACGCGCGCGCCCGCGCCUCCCCAACGCGCUCCCCGCCACUGCAUAGCCCGCGCCACACCACUGUCAUUGCUCCGCCUGUACUACUCCUGCUAGCUACUGUCGCCGCAAGCUAGCUUUUCAAUUUCUACAAUAACUAACCCUCUAGACAGCCCCUAAACAGCGCCUAAACGACUGUUAACCGGAGCAAAAAUAUUAUGUGAAGGUAGUAUACUUGAUAAACUCUAUUUUAUCCCACUGGACCAAAUCCAUUUGAUGCAUGUAUUAAAUACUAAGAAAAUCACAAAAUGCUAUCUUUUGUUAACAGAAAACAGUUUUAACCUCUAGCACCGUGUCUUGCGUGCUGUGUGUGUGCCGUGCGUGUGGCCGGAUGGGCUGUGGCCGGCCCUUGUUAGUACUAGGUUUAGCUAGUAGUAUUAAUUAGUGCUAAGUUAGUCUAAUAGUAGAUGACAUGUAGGCCCCAAUUAAAUAAGUUAGGUUUAUUUAAUUUUUAGGUAAAUAGUCCAUGACGUGUGGGUCACACCUCUCCUUUUGACUAGUCAAAUUGACUUGGUCAAUUCGAGUUAAAGGUAAUUUAGAAAAUCUAGAAUAUUGAUAAAACUUUGAAAAAUCAUAUAAAAUAAUCCGUGACUCGGAUGGAAAUAUUUUGUACAUGAAAAUUGCUCAGAACGACGAGACGAAUCCAGAUACGCAACCCGUUCGUCCGCCACGCAUCCCUAGCAUAGUGAACCUGCAACAUUUCACCUCCGGUUCAUCUAACCGAAAACGUGAAACACCGGGGAUACUUUCCCGGAUGUUUCCCCCUUUCGCCGGUAUCACCUACUACCGCGCAAGGGCACACCGGACACCGCGUAUUGCCUUGUUACGCUUUGUGAUGCUUUCAUUGCUCUGUUAUUUAUUGUGUUCCCUCUCCGUUAAUUCUUUCCGAUAGACCCCGAGACUGUCGGCGACCCCCAGUUCGACUACGGUAUUGACGACCCCUCCUUCUUGCCAGAGCAACCAGGCAAGCCCCCCCUUGAUCACCAGAUAUC
rnacentral:lncRNA from 1 species